AUUCCACUUAAAUUUUACGUCGGUUUCUGUGAAUUUGUGCUGUGUCUGUUUUUCAAGAAAGAAGAGGACGUAAUAAACAUAAUAGAUUAAAAAUAAUAAUGUGUUUUUGCAUGAAUUUUACGAAGUAUUCAUUUUAGUUUCAGUUGGAUCCGUUUGAUUUUUUUCCGCCUGUGCGUGGUGGGAGUGUUUCCUAACGAAGGUGCCGCUAAGGUUGACUUCGACAAAUUUCUGCUAUGGUCGAAGUGAUUUUUCUUCAGAUAGAGUUUUUUUUCGCGAUUAAGACACGAACCAUCCCAAAGGUGAAGCAUUGGCCGCCAUACACGGAAUGCAAAUCAGCUAGCACGUCGAAACCAGAGGCAGUGUAGGGAUCCAAAGCACUCUUCAAAGCUUUGUCGUGGGUACUUGGACGAUCUCGAGAUGAAAGAAAAACUGAUAAACAUGCCAUGGCCAGCUCAAUCCCCAGACUUGAAUCCAAUCGAGUUGCUUUGGGAUGAUCUGGACCCUCAAGUGAAGAAGAACCAUUUGUGGGAGUGCUUACCAAAGGCUUGGGAAAAUAUUGCAGAAGAAAUCCUCGAAAAACUUAUUCGGCGUAUGCCCAGAGUCUGCAAAGCAGUAAUUGAAUCAAAUGGGGGGUAUUUCGAGGAAUCUAAUAUUUAAUUUUUGAUUUAACAAUGCAAAUCAAAAUAUUAUAAAUAAAUCAUUAAAAAGAAAUUAAAAACCUAAUAAUCGAAAUUGCAUAAUUUAUUUUCAGAAUGUUCACUGAGUUACUCAAUAUCGCAACUUUUUAAACAGAGUUUAAGAUGGAGUAAGUUGAAAACACUAAAAUCUUUAUGCACAUUAGCAGCACAUUGAAGAAAAAUUCCGAACUAAACUAUUAGCCAACCAGAAAUUUUUGAUUUUCUGUGCAACUUUGCUGAAAAUCGCAACUCUCUAAAUGGUGAAUUUAUUGAGCUAAGUAAUUUUCAAAACACUCGAAACUACUUGCACACCAACGCUGCGUUGCGGCUGAAUUCUGCACUAUACUGUCCAUCAAAUAGAAGCCCUUGACCUCCUGAGUAACUUUGCUAAAGACCACAACUCUCUAGGUUUCCAGAAUAAAGAGAUAGAGUUACAUAAAUCUGCCCGUUUUAAGUGAUGUUAAACUUUUCAAAGCGUUGCAAUACUCAGUAAAGCGAUUCCAAACUUAUGACGGGUAGUGUAUAUGAAGCAAUUUAACGUGUCAUAUUAAAUUGUAAAAUGCGUCAUUUCUUUAAGUCGUAUAAAAUGUAAAUUAAAGUUUCAAAUGAGGCCAUUUAGAAUAGCCUGCGACGUUAUACAAAAUCGUACCAAUUUUUUUUUUAUAAUGUACCUAUAUGGCCUCCAGAUUUGUACAUAUAGACGCAUUUCAUGCAUCCUUUAUGGUAAUUUUUUUCCAAAUAAGGGUUCACUUAACAGGUUUGAGCGCGAGUUAUAUGAACCAAUUUGUUUGCUGGGAUCUGGGAGUAUCUAUUUAUUUAUUCAUUUUGUCAAUCAGAAGUAGACAAUAUACAAUCUAAUAAAUAAAAAUC